rnacentral:rRNA from 1 species
GAUCCUGGCUCAGAUUGAACGCUGGCGGCAUGCCUUACACAUGCAAGUCGAACGGCAGCACGGGAGCAAUACUGGGUGGCGACCGGCGCACGGGUGCGUAACGCGUAUACAAUUUACCUUUACUAGGGGAUAGCCCAGAGAAAUUUGGAUUAAUACCCUAUAGUAUUAUCGGAUCGCAUGGUUUGGUAAUUAAAGUUUCGGCGGUAAGAGAUGAGUAUGCGUCCUAUUAGCUAGAUGGUAAGGUAACGGCUUACCAUGGCUAUGAUAGGUAGGGGUCCUGAGAGGGAGAUCCCCCACACUGGUACUGAGACACGGACCAGACUCCUACGGGAGGCAGCAGUGAGGAAUAUUGGUCAAUGGGCGCAAGCCUGAACCAGCCAUGCCGCGUGCAGGAUGACUGCCCUAUGGGUUGUAAACUGCUUUUUUACAGGAAGAAACCCUACCAUGCGUGGUAGAUUGACGGUACUGUAUGAAUAAGCACCGGCUAACUCCGUG